rnacentral:rRNA from 1 species
GACGUAGGGCGCGAGCGUUGUCCGGAUUUAUUGGGCGUAAAGAGCUCGUAGGCGGCUUGUUGCGUCGACUGUGAAAACCCGCGGCUUAACUGCGGGCUUGCAGUUGAUACGGGCAGGCUAGAGUUCGGUAGGGGAGACUGGAAUUCCUGGUGUAGCGGUGAAAUGCGCAGAUAUCAGGAGGAACACCGGUGGCGAAGGCGGGUCUCUGGGCCGGUACUGACGCUGAGGAGCGAAAGCGUGGGGAGCAAACAGG